CUGGAGGCUGGAGUCUCAGGUCUG
rnacentral:misc_RNA from 1 species